rnacentral:snRNA from 1 species
GGAUGUAAGGGCAAUCUGGAUAUGACUUCUGUCACUCCAUUGAUCACCAGGGUUGGUUCUGCUGAUCUGGCUGGCUUGGCAGGUGUCCCCUUUCUUCCUCCCCAUUUCAUGUGUAUCCCUCCUGAAGCUGCACACUUGGCCAAAGAGGACAACCUUCCCAAAAGAGAGGAGGACUGGUGUUUGGCCAAGGGUAUAUGAAUAGCUGUGCUGCCCUGCUAGAACCUCCAAACAAGCUCUCAGGUAUUUUGAACUUUUGAACAAAGUUGGGACUGGUAAAGACUAUCGGGACUUUGAAAGUUACACUGAAUGCAUUUUGCAUCAUGAGAUAGU